UUUCUCUCCAAGACAGCCUUAAACGCAUCUUCUUCGUUUGACCGUGUCUUACCAGACGAUAACAUGGACUAUUCUUCAAAAAGAACAGAUAAACACAUCCAAAAGAUUUUUUUUUUUUUUUUUUUCUGGGACGACUUUUUCCUCGUCAGGGAGAACUUAUUCUAUAAAUACAUCUUCUCACCAAAAGAAAUCAAAUAUCAUUUUCUUCGUCAAACACAAAUUGAUAUAAACCAAAAUUUUGGCUUAUAUAAACGAUUUAUACAUUGUAAAACUCAUUAUUAUAAACAAAACCAAAAUGUAUCACCGCUUGGUUUGGUUAGUUGCUUUGAUUGUUCUAUUGUUCGUUGGAUCAUCAAACAUAGCUUCCGCUCGGAUACCAUACCAAUCCUUCAUGACAAAAAAAGAAGAACGGGUUUGGGAUAAAAUGAUGAUCAGAGAAAUCAAGAUUGAUGUGGGAGGAAGUAACUCAAGACAUGCACGUCAAGGAAAUGCACCAAAUCCAGGCG